AAAAGCACUGUUGUGAUAGCUGCCAGCUGGACACAGCCCGAAUGCCCAUCUACAGUAAAAUGGGUAAAGUGUUGUCUGUUCAAGUAGCAGAAUGCUUGGCAGUUUUGAGAAUAAGCAGCCGAUAUAGGUGGAUCUGGCAGAUGUGAUGUUGAGUGACAGAAGCCACACCCCAAAGAGAAGGUCCUGUGUGAUUCCAUUUAUGCAAAGUUCAAGAACAGGCAAAAUCAAUCUAGGAGUCUAGAGGUCAGGUUAGGGUACCCUUGGGGAGUAAGUGUUGGAAGGGAACACAAGGGGGCUUCUGGGAGCGGGCAGUGUUCUUGUUAACUGAUCUAGGCACUGUCACCUGGAUGUGCUUCCUUCAGGAAAAUUCUCCAAGCUGUUUUACACUUAUCAUGUAUGUCCUUUUCUGUAUAUAUGUUUACUUCAACAAGGCAUUAAAAGUUCUUAUUUGUGUCUUGAAUGGGAACGGCGAACUAGAAAGUCGAGCUACAGAAGCCUAAUUUAUACACUUAAUCUGUGCCAAGCCAGACUACAAAAUCAAUUUAUAAUUCUCUAUGCUGCUUGCAAUUUGUCCUGCUCCCACCACCCCCACCCCCAGGCUGCCAUGAGCUGUAACUAAUUAGUUUUGAAAUCUAAAUAGCCAACUUCCCAUGGCUCACACUGCCAGGACCCUGGAGGGGAAUGGAGUACACCCCAGCACUAAAAGAGGCCCUGAUCCCCAAGCUCACAGCCUCUGGAGCAGAAUCCACCAUCACCUUGGGCUCACAGGAGGAUAGUAGGCAUUCAUAAAAUGCUUGUGGAUGGACGGUGUCCUAAAAAUUCUGCAAGCGUGUCCCCGAGAUCCCACUGCCCCCAACAUCAGAGAAGGGCUGUCUGUAGCCCCUUGGGGAGCUGCCUGCAAGGACUGAGGGCCUGGGGAUCUAGAGAAGAGGUUUCCUCUUCCUCCGACAUCAGGAGUCCGCCUCCCUACUGGACGCAGUAGGGAGAGCUGAUGCAAAAUGCUUGACUUGGCCUUGGCCGACCCCAGGUGACUCCUGACACCAAGCAGCCUGGCAACAGGGGCCUGGGGGAGGGGAUAAUUUAUAUUUUUGCUUGGUGACAAAUGGCUAAAUAAUAGAUCUGGCUGGGGUUUCGGUUUCUCCCCCAGCAGCUUGACCGAUGUGUUGGCCUGUUGACUCAAUCGGCGUUAUUUUGGCCCUGUGGGGACCCAGAACUCGGUUUGUGCUCGGGGAGGCCUUCCCCUCUCUCUUGGGUGUUUGGGCUUCCCCCAGUGUCGUGUUUGUUUGCCUUCCUGUCUGGGGCCCUGAGGGUUGAAGAAGGCGGAGGCGUGGGCCUUUGCCAGACUCCAAGUUUUUACGUGGCCUGGGGCACAGACUCCUGUUUGCAUGGCUGGUGAAGCAGCAGCAUCUCCGUCCUCUUUGGCCCGGCAAAUGUGGUCCUUCCUCUCCCUCCAGCCCUAUCUGCCUUUCUCCCUGCAGCCACUCUUAGUAUUAAUGACAGUGGUAGAGCAAUGUAAUUCCUUACGUGCAAAUAGUGCUUUAUGGUUUGUGAAGCCCUUUCAGGGCAUCAUGUCAUUUGACCCUCCCACAGCCCUCUGUUUGGGGCUGAGGCUCAGGGAGGUUUGGGGACUUACCCAAGGUUAUGGACUCAUGAAAGUCAGAGCAGGUCUUUGGAUUUUUGGUCCUGUCUUCUGUCCUCUGACCCAAGAUGCCCUCUUGCCUUUGGAGACUGGGGAAGAGGCUGCCACCCUACAUCUAUUCCCCUUUCUUCCUUAGCAAUAGAACCUCAGUUUUACUCAAGGUAGCAUUGUUCCCAGGCAAAAGAAAGAUUCCUAGCCUAACUUGCAGCUGUGGUUUGUAACCAGGCGCUUCAGGAAAACUUAAAGAGGGGGCAUGGACCCUUUUUACCUUAUCUCACUAUCUGGAAUUCAGAGAUAAUGGCUGGAACUCAGCAGCCAUUCUGGACAAUGAGGUAACCUUGAGGAUAAAAGCCAUGUACUAAGAUAGUAAGUCAGAAAUACAGAAGGGUCCUGAGUCUCAGAUGACCAGAGAACUACUAUGCCAGCCAAGACUUCCUAAACCAAGACCUCUUUUACACGAGAGAGAAAUAAACUUCUAUUUUGUUUAAGUCAUUGCUAUAUGGUUCUCUGUUUGCAGCCAAGUUGAAUUGCUCCUGAUUCAGGAGCCUCAUUUCCAGUAAGACACCACCUCUCCUGCACCCCUUCCUGCUGACUGAGCAUGUGGAAGGCUCUCUUCUAGUGGUUCUCAGCUCUCCUUGUUGUAUAUUCUGGGCCUGGGUCAUGAGAACUAGCCCCUGUACAUUUCUGGGUCCCUUGAACCUGAGGAGAGUUCUAGAGAAUGACCACAUAUAUUUCCUUCUGUUAGUUCUCAUAGCCCAGUGACACUACUGAUGGGGGGAGAACACAUGAAAACUCCAAGCCCUCAGCCAUUUGCAUAGGCUGGAUUCUUCUGAGGGUUAGUUUACAAACACUUCCAACUACUCUUCAUCCUCCGUAUUGCAGAGGGUGGGCCAGAGGGUUUAUCAUUUGGGCCCUGCUCCUCAUCUGCCCCACCCCCAAAGCAGAGAAAGUAGAGUCCCGGUGUUCAUGAUCCCUGCCUCCUGAAUCCCUACCAGUAAAACGUUUGAAGCACAUGCACCCCUGACAGUUGCAUGUCUUUUGGCUAAAGAAUUACAGACCUCCUCCUGUUGGUCUGGCCAUGUGGAACUGUGAGGAACUGAUGUAUCUUGACUGAUCGGGGGCUGGGCUCAGCCUUGUGCAUCAGGUCACAGAUGUCUUUAAGGGCUGGGCUCUCUCUAGCUUUCAGAAGUGCCUCUAUCGGUUAUUGUGUUGGCUUUUGUUCUCAAGUCCAUCCCUUCAAGGGUAUGUGUUAAAAUCGUAUCUGCCUUCUCAGUAAGAAAAUGGGCAGGGGCAGUGCCAGCCUGCCAUGCUCUGGCACUGUCGCUUUCUGAGAAGCAAAAUGUCUUUUCCAGAAACCUCUGGUGAACGUGUCUUUCUGCCUUAUUAGCCAGCCCUGGGUCACAUGGCUUCACUGGUCACAGGAGUCUGGGAAGUUAUCAGGUAACAAGGGGAAACAGAGGUGAGAAUGGAAUGGCUGUUGGGUGGCACCUCAUAGGGUCUGCAAUGCACGUUUACCACUGGGCCAGGUUUUUUUUUUUUUUUUUUUUUUUUUUUUUUUGUGCACCCGCACAUGGAAGUUCCCAGGCUAGGGAUUGAAUCCGAGCCACAGCUGCAACCUGUGCAAUAGCUGUGACAACACUGGAUCCUUUAACCCACUGUGCUGGGCCGGGGACCAAACCCUUGGCUCCACAGUGACCUGAGCUGCUACAGUCAGGUUCUUAACCCACUGUGAGAAAUCCCUCAGUACCUUUUAAGAAACAGUAAAUAUUGGAGUUCCCAUCAUGGCGCAGUGGUUAACGAAUCCGACUAGGAACCAUGAGGUUGCGGGUUCAGUCCCUGCCCUUGCUCAGUGGGUUAAUGAUCCGGCAUUGCCGUGAGCUGUGGUGUAGGUUGCAGACGCGGCUCGGAUCCUGCGUUGCUGUAGCUCUGGCGUAGGCCGGUGGCUACAGCUCCGAUUCGACCCCUAGCCUGGGAACCUCCAUAUGCUGCAGGUGUGGCCCUAGAAAA
ensembl:lncRNA